UGAGCGCACGUGGUAACUCAUGCGGUC
rnacentral:piRNA from 1 species